GUCUGGCUAGCUCAGUUGGUAGAGUAUGAGACUCUUGAUUUCAGGGUCGUGGGUUUGAGCCCCACAUUGGGUG